rnacentral:rRNA from 1 species
UGGGGAAUUUUGGACAAUGGGCGAAAGCCUGAUCCAGCCAUGCCGCGUGAGUGAAGAAGGCCUUCGGGUUGUAAAGCUCUUUCAGGUGGAAAGAAAAGGUUACGGAUAAUACCUGUGACUGAUGACGGUACCAUCAGAAGAAGCACCGGCUAACUACGUGCCAGCAGCCGCGGUAAUACGUAGGGUGCGAGCGUUAAUCGGAAUUACUGGGCGUAAAGCGUGCGCAGGCGGUUUUGUAAGACAGACGUGAAAGCCCCGGGCUUAACCUGGGAACGGCGUUUGUGACUGCAAGACUAGAGUAUGGCAGAGGGGGGUAGAAUUCCACGUGUAGCAGUGAAAUGCGUAGAGAUGUGGAGGAAUACCGAUGGCGAAGGCAGCCCCCUGGGUCAAUACUGACGCUCAUGCACGAAAGCGUGGGGAGCAAACAGGAUUAGAUACCCUCGUAGUCCCUGAGCGGGCUGGCAAGGCGCAU